CUCCUGCAGGAACCCAGAGAAGUGAUCCUGAAAUAUUUGGAAUAUUUCUGUUUGGAAUUGUGUCUCUAGGAAAGGAGGAAAGAGGAAUAAUCCUGAAAUACUUGGAAUAUUUAUUUAUGGGAUUGUGCCUGCAGGAAACCAGGGAAAAAUAUGUAUCCUGAAUUAUUUGGAAUAUUUCUUUAUGGGAUUCCACAUGCAGGGAAUGAGUGAAAAGAUCCUGAAUUAUUUAUGGGAAUAUUUCUGUUUGGGAUUGUGUCUCUAUGAAAAGAGGGAAGAGGAAUAAUCCUGAAAUAUUGGGAAUAUUUAUUUCUGGAAUUGCACCUGCAGGAAACCAUUGAAAUUAUCCUGAAAUAUUUGGAAUAUUUCUUUAUGGGAUUGCACCUGCAGAUCCCAAAAUCUCCAUCAUGACACCUUUGGGAUAUCCCGGGAAACUCCCCCUGCCUUGGACCAGCAACAAUUCCCGAGGAUUUUUGGGAUUUUCCCACCACUCUGAUCACCCUUCCUGCUCUGGAAAUUCCAGAAUUUUACCAUUUCCAACUUCAAUAACCCCAAUAUCAACAUCCCUGAGCCUCCUUUUCCUCAGUUUCCCUCAUCCCAAAAACCGUUGGAAUCUUGCCUGGGCUCAUCCUGGGAUUUUUAAACCCAAUCCCUUCUCCCACACAGAUAAACCCCGAAAUUCCAAACCCUUUUACCAGUGCCCAGUGCCCGGUUCCCAGUGCCCAGUGCCCAGUUUCCAGUCCCCAGUUCCCAGUGCCCAGUUCCCAGUGCCCAGUUCCCAGUUCCCAGUUCCUAGUGCCCAGUUCCCAGUUCCCCAUUUCCAGUUCUCAGUGACCCAUGCCCAGUCCCUGUUCAUUCCUGGCUGUCCCUGGCUGUCCCUGUGUGUCCCCAGGUGUCCCCAGGUAUCCCUGUGUGUCCCCGGCUGUCCCCAGGUGUCCCUGUGUGUCCCUGUGUGUCCCUGUGUGUCCCCGGCUGUCCCCAGGUGUCCCAGUGUGUCCCUGUGUGUCCCUGUGUGUCCCCAGGUGUCCCCAGGUGUCCCUGUGUGUCCCCAGGUGUCCCUGUGUGUCCCUGUGUGUCCCCGGCUGUCCCCAGGUGUCCGUGGGUGUCUCUCAGUGUCUCUGGGUGGGGACAGGAAACUCUCACAGCUCUCAGAGCAGCGCUGGGGAUCGGCACCACAUCCGGGGCUGCGGGGGCACAGGAAACAGGGGGGGGGAGUGAGGGGAGAGGGGGAGGGGAGAGCAGAACCACCCAGAGCCCUGAGCUUGAGGAACAUGGGGACCUGCAUCUGGAUCCACACCUGCCCAUCCAUCCAUCAUCCAUCAUCCAUCCAUCCAUCCAUCCAUCCAUCCAUCAUCAUCCAUCCAUCCAUCCAUCCAUCCAUCCAUCCAUCCAUCCAUCCAUCAUCCAUCAUCCAUCCAUCCAUCAUCCAUCCAUCCAUCAUCCAUCCAUCCAUCCAUCCAUCCAUCCAUCCAUCCAUCCAUCCAUCCAUCCAUCCAUCCAUCCAUCCAUCCAUCCAUCCAUCCAUCCAUCCAUCCAUC
rnacentral:lncRNA from 12 species